AACCAAUAGGCCAAGGCCAUGGUUAAUGCUAACUAAAAUGACAAUUAACUAGUUGUUCUACGACAAACAUUGUUGAAGCCAUAGCUAAUAGAUGCUUGAAUUAUCUUUGUCCUCAAGCCACCUUCAUUACUAUAUACAAAUGCCACAAUCAGCUGUUUGUAUUACUACUAAGAGUUUUUCCAUUGUAUCAUCUAAUUCAUCCCUAUCUCAC
rnacentral:misc_RNA from 1 species